rnacentral:rRNA from 1 species
GACGAACGCUGGCGGCGUGCUUAACACAUGCAAGUCGGACGGAAAGGCCCUGCUUUUGUGGGGUGCUCGAGUGGCGAACGGGUGAGUAACACGUGAGUAACCUGCCCUUGACUUUGGGAUAACUUCAGGAAACUGGGGCUAAUACCGGAUAGGAGCUCCUGCUGCAUGGUGGGGGUUGGAAAGUUUCGGCGGUUGGGGAUGGACCCGCGGCUUAUCAGCUUGUUGGUGGGGUAGUGGCUUACCAAGGCUUUGACGGGUAGCCGGCCUGAGAGGGUGACCGGCCACAUUGGGACUGAGAUACGGCCCAGACUCCUACGGGAGGCAGCAGUGGGGAAUAUUGCACAAUGGGCGGAAGCCUGAUGCAGCAACGCCGCGUGCGGGAUGACGGCCUUCGGGUUGUAAACCGCUUUCGCCUGUGACGAAGCGUGAGUGACGGUAAUGGGUAAAGAAGCACCAGCUAACUACGUG